rnacentral:rRNA from 1 species
UACGUAGGGUGCAAGCGUUGUCCGGAAUUAUUGGGCGUAAAGAGCUCGUAGGCGGCUUGUUGCGUCGGAUGUGAAAGCCCGGGGCUUAACUCCGGGUCUGCAUUCGAUACGGGCAGGCUAGAGUUCGGUAGGGGAGAUCGGAAUUCCUGGUGUAGCGGUGAAAUGCGCAGAUAUCAGGAGGAACACCGGUGGCGAAGGCGGAUCUCUGGGCCGAUACUGACGCUGAGGAGCGAAAGCGUGGGGAGCGAACAGG